UUUCUUCAUAGCAGUAUGCAAAUAGACUAAUACAACAUGCCUGCUCUAUAAUAGCCUUGACAAUUAUGUGGCUACUUUGUUUAGUUUCAAUCAGGUGAAAGUGAUGACUCAAAGAAGAUGCACUCUCUUUCUUUAUCAAUAUUCCUCUGGGAGGGAGUAACUAACUUUUCAGAGAACCUUGCCAAGCCUUUAUUUCUCACUUGCUUCUGAAGUUGUAAGGUAGAUGCUAUCCUCACAAACUCCCAACACUCUUCACUUUCCAGUAGUUGUUGUUUGGGUGUGAGCUGGCCUAAUUGGACCCAUGAACUUGACUUGACUAAACUAUCUGAAGGGAAUACUCUCAUAGUAUAGGUAUUUAUUUAACAUAUGCGUAUUGAGGCCUAUACUAUGCCAGCUACUGCACAAACUGCUAGGAUACCACUGUGGACAAAAACAAAACAAAACAAAACAAAAACUAGGCAUUCUGUCUCCAUGGAGUUUACAUUUUAGAAUGGGAAGCUUACUAUAAGGUCAAUAGGUAAUAUUUGUAGUAUAUUAGUGCUAAUUGCUAAUAAAGAAAAUAAAAAGAAAAUGAAGUAGGAAGGAAGAAUGGGGGUUGGAUUACAACUGUAGUCUGGAUGGCCAAGGUCAACCUCAAAGAGAAGGUGGCAUCUGAAUAAAGAUGGGAUGGAGAUCAGGGCCUCUGGAAAGGUCCCUGGGGAGGAGAUGAAAGGUCUUCUGAGGGAAUAAGGCUCCAGGCUAUUCUGUGACAUCCCCAGAAUAUUAAAACAAUAAGUGUCAAAAGCAUUAGCAAAUGUGUGAUGUUUCAAAACAUGUUCUUAUGUCGAAGUUACAGGGCAGUACUCUCUUUCAAUCUGGUCAGUGUCAUUUUUGUGAUCUGUAUAGCCACCUUUGGGGAAAAUGUCACAAGUCUAAAUCUGAGGCUGCUGGUGGACAUGAGGCUCAGGCCCCAAACCCCCUCCCCUCCUCCAGCUCUUGACUUCUUGUAAUGAGGGCAGGCAUCAGAAGGUCUGGGUUCUAAUGCCCACACCACCUCUUAAACGAACUAGCCCUGAACCUCUCUUUUAGAGGCAAUUUUCUCCUUUAUAAAUCAAGAAUUAUCUCUGUCCUAUACAUGAAUUUAGAUUUGUUGUGACAGCAACAUUGGGCUGUUCCCAAUUUUCCCACCCCAUUCCACAUCUGGGGUUUCUAUUAUUUUUCCUUGGAUAAGAGAAAAGAUGUGGACUUCCUUACUUCCAUGGAAUUUUCCAAGCACAACUGAGGUACGAUCCAUGGGAUCAGAUACAGGAUGGGAUGUACUAGGAGCUGGUCUGGGAUUCACCUGAAGUCAGGCAGGAAAUAAAAGUCCAGGAGGAAGAAAGCCCUUCUUUAUCAAUUUGACCCUUGGCUGCUUUUCUUGAUAGUACCAUCCCUCAAGGAACAAGAUAAAGAACAAGAAUUUAGAACUCUCCCCUUGCUACAAUGCAAUGAUAGAAUACUGGAUAGAGAGAACACAUUCUUAAAGUUUUUCAAAUCUGUUCCCAAGAUGUCCACAUUUGAAAUACUCAGUGAAGCCAAAUAAAUACUUGCCGUGUCUUUAAUAAUCUGUACCAUGAUUACACCAGGGAAGUGCUGAUGAAAAUCCCCUGUUGGUUUAGUUGGAUCACUGUAGCUGUCUCCUAUUUAUUACAGUAUCCUGCCUGGAAUACAUGGAUAACUUCUCUAUGACAUCAUUAAACAUGUCAUCUCAGAACCUGGAACUUUGGCAGACUUUGGAUCCUAUUUCACUUUUAUGCCAUGACUAGUUCAUUUGUGGACAGCCAAGAAUCAGAAAACUGAGGGCUUUAUAUGCAGAAUCAGUAAUGUGUUUGCUUUAUUUUCAUCUUUUAUAACCUAUUUCUAAAUAUCCUUCUCCCUUCUCUAAUCCCUCCAUCCCAUCACCAAAUGAGAAGUAAGCAGAGUAAUAUUAAAUAGAUGAGAUUUUCACUUAAGAAUUUGAAGAUUUUGCUGUUGAGAAAAAUACUAAAGUCUUAACCCUAUAAUAAUGAGUUUCCUAACUGAUGUCAGAAAAAUUCUGAACAUGACCAUGGCCAAUGUUCUUCAAAUCUACAGAGCAACAAGAACAACCAAAAUGAGAAAUAGUAGAUUCUAUAAUAAAACAAAAAUAGCAAAA